rnacentral:ncRNA from 1 species
AAAUAGAGGCGCGAUGUCAAUGAGUAGUCCCGCGGAGGUUGUCGGUAGCCGAUGAAACGGGUGAAAGGUGCCAUUGCCGAAGGGAGCGUAAGGCCGAAUCUACCGUUCCCUGGUCAUAACAGCGAACAGCGGUAUGACUGUCAUCCCUGUGGGAUGGAGGGCUAUUAUA